rnacentral:rRNA from 1 species
CCCUUAGAUGUUCUGGGCCGCACGCGCGCUACACUGAUGCAUUCAACAAGCCUAGCCUUGACCGAGAGGUCCGGGUAAUCUUUGAAACUGCAUCGUGAUGGGGCUAGAUUAUUGCAAUUAUUAAUCUUCAACGAGGAAUGCCUAGUAAGCGUGAUUCAUCAAAUCGCGUUGAUUACGUCCCUGCCCUUUGUACACACCGCCCGUCGCUCCUACCGAUUGAAUGUGUUGGUGAGGAGCUGGGAUUGGCAGCAGUUGGUGGUUCGCCACCGGCUAUUGCUGAGAAGUCCUCCAAACCGCCCCAUUUAGAGGAAGGAGAAGUCGUAACA